GAGGUUGUGGCUCAGUGGCAGAGUACUUGCCUAGCAUGUAUGAGGCACUGGGUUCAAUUCUCAGCACCACA
rnacentral:tRNA from 1 species